UACGUAGGGGGCGAGCGUUGUCCGGAUUUAUUGGGCGUAAAGAGCGUGUAGGCGGUCCGGUAAGUCCGCUGUGAAAGUCGGGGGCUCAACCCUCGAAUGCCGGUGGAUACUGUCGGGCUAGAGUGCGGAAGAGGCGAGUGGAAUUCCUGGUGUAGCGGUGAAAUGCGCAGAUAUCAGGAGGAACACCAAUUGCGAAGGCAGCUCGCUGGGACGUUACUGACGCUGAGACGCGAAAGCGUGGGGAGCAAACAGG
rnacentral:rRNA from 1 species